AUAUGGGCUGUGGCAAUAAUUUUGAAAAAUAAUAGCUCACAGCAACAUAUGGAAAAAAAGAACUAUGAACUAGUUCAUUUUUGGAACUGUGAACUUAGUUCAAAAUUUUGAAGUGAACUAUGAACUGAACUAGUUAAUUUUAAAAUUUGUGAACUGAACUUUGAACUAGUUCAUGUAGAAAGUGAACUUUCCCAACACUGUAAACCAGACAGAG